GAUGAACGCUGGCGGCGUGCCUAAUACAUGCAAGUCGAGCGAACAGACGAGGAGCUUGCUCCUCUGACGUUAGCGGCGGACGGGUGAGUAACACGUGGAUAUCCUACCUAUAAGACUGGGAUAACUUCGGGAAACCGGAGCUAAUACCGGAUAAUAUAUUGAACCGCAUGGUUCAAUAGUGAAAGACGGUUUUGCUGUCACUUAUAGAUGGAUCCGCGCCGCAUUAGCUAGUUGAUAAGGUAACGGCUUACCAAGGCAACGAUGCGUAGCCGACCUGAGAGGGUGAUCGGCCACACUGGAACUGAGACACGGUCCAGACUCCUACGGGAGGCAGCAGUAGGGAAUCUUCCGCAAUGGGCGAAAGCCUGACGGAGCAACGCCGCGUGAGUGAUGAAGGUCUUCGGAUCGUAAAACUCUGUUAUUAGGGAAGAACAAAUGUGUAAGUAACUAUGCACGUCUUGACGGUACCUAAUCAGAAAGCCACGGCUAACUACGUG
rnacentral:rRNA from 1 species